rnacentral:ncRNA from 1 species
GGUAAUGCCUACUGCACCUUUAUUACUGUAGGUACUCGGUCACACUGUGGGUUUAUAAAACCUUAGACGUUAUUGUCAAGGGUGUGAUGUGAGGGGGGGUUAAAUGCCC